rnacentral:rRNA from 1 species
AACGGCGAGUGAAGCGGCAAAAGCUCAAAUUUGAAAUCCUGCGGGAAUUGUAAUUUGAAGGUUUCGUGGUCUGAGUCGGCCGCGCCCAAGUCCAUUGGAACAUGGCGCCUGGGAGGGUGAGAGCCCCGUAUGGCGCACGCCGACUCUUUGCACCGCGGCUCCGACGAGUCGAGUUGUUUGGGAAUGCAGCUCUAAGUGGGUGGUAAAUUCCAUCUAAAGCUAAAUAUUGGCGAGAGACCGAUAGCGAACAAGUACAGUGAUGGAAAGAUGAAAAGCACUUUGAAAAGAGAGUGAAACAGCACGUGAAAUUGUUGAAAGGGAAGGGCUUGCAAGCAGACACGGUUUUACCGGGCCAGCGUCAAAUAAACGGGGGGGAAAAGGGGGAAAGAAUGUGGCGCGUGCCUUCGGGUUCGCGUGUUAUAGCUUUCUCUAAUACCCCCAUGUUUGUUUGAGGCCUGCGAUUCUAGGACGCUGGCGUAAUGGUUGCAAGCCGC